rnacentral:misc_RNA from 1 species
GAUGAAGAACGUAGCGAAAUGCGAUACUUGGUGUGAAUUGCAGAAUCCCGUGAACCAUCGAGUCUUUGAACGCAAGUUGCGCCCGAAGCCAUUAGGCCGAGGGCACGCCUGCCUGGGCGUCACACGUCGUUGCCCCCCCAUCUAAUCCUUCGGGAUUGCGGGGGGCGGAUGAUGGCCUCCCGUGCGCCUCGUCGCGCGGUUGGCAUAAAUGCCAAGUCCUCGGCGACGCACGCCACGACAAUCGGUGGUUGCGAAACCUCGGUUGCCCGUUGUGUGCGGUCGUCGCGAAUCGAGGGCUCGAAAAAAUUGCCGGGCUCCGGCUCGACUUUCAACGCGACCCCAGGUCAGGCGGGGUUACCCGCUGAAUUUAAGCAUAUCAAUAAGCGGAGGA